ACUAUUUUUGAAUGACCAAUCUGAAACUGGCUAUACCGUCCUAUUUUGACAAAUCUCCGGUAUAUAGUCUCUUCGCCAACAACAGAACUGUUCAAACCCCCAAAACUUAAAAGGCUCAUCAGCUUGACGCAUCUCUACUCUGUAAUUUUCGCGGGUAUAAGGCUUCAUUAAUGGAGAUGAUAGCAGGAAGGAGAACAAGGUGAGCUCAGAAUACGCCAUCGAUGCAAAGAGGAGAAAAAGAAAAAGACCACAGUCUUGACCUUCGAUCGUGCUACGAGCACGGGCAGAUAGGUGGUUACAAGGAGGGCCUGCCUUUCCAAUCAAUCUCCGGCCGCUCAAUGUCGCUAUUGGUGUGAAAAUGAGGAAAUUUUCAAAGGUGAACUAACAGGAAGAAAGUCAUCGCAUCUACAAGCGAAGAGUAUAACACAUCAGAUGAAAUGUGAAUCCAAAAGGGCGAGAAGCAGUAAUGGCGGACGAUCCCUUGUAGCAUAUGUAAAAGAUGUGAGAAGAAGAGAGAGUGAAAGCAGUGGGUGUGAGAACAUAGAUUUAACUCCAUAACUUUUAGAAGCAGUGGUUGUAAGAACACAGAUUUUAAAUUUGCAAGAGCUAGUGUUUUCAGAAUAUGUACAAUAUGGAUUAGGUCGGGUAAAACUUAAAAAUAUGGGACAUUUUUUGUUAUGGUGUGAAGUCAUCUGUAUUUUCUUGUAAUUCUUUCUUUUUUAUUUUGUUUUCAUAUUUUUCCCUUGAACUUUAUAUUAGA